GAAAUGCGAUAAGUAAUGUGAAUUGCAGAAUUCAGUGAAUCAUCGAAUCUUUGAACGCACAUUGCGCCCCCUGGUAUUCCGGGGGGCAUGCCUGUUCGAGCGUCAUUAUAACCCUCAAGCCCAGCUUGGUGUUGGGGCCUGUCGUCAGACAGCCCUUAAAAUCAGUGGCGGUGCCUGCAGGCUCUACGCGUAGUAAUUCUUCUCGCGAUGGAGCCCUGUAGGAUGCUUGCCAUCAACCCCCAAUUUUCUAUGGUUGACCUCGGAUCAGGUAGGGAUACCCGCUGAACUUAA
rnacentral:misc_RNA from 1 species